rnacentral:lncRNA from 1 species
AUAAAUCCUGAUCAAAUAUUUUUAACCAAUACAUGCCCCUUGGAAUUAUAAAUUAUAAAUGCAAAUCUCAUUGUAUUUGUUUGGAAGCUUUUUCUCUCGAGAUAUAAAUUUAAAAAAAGAAAAAGUGCUUUGUUUAGUUUUUACCCUCUUGUACAUAAAAUGUAUCUUGGAUGCGGGGGACAGUGGAUCUCUGAUCUUUUAUUGAAAACAACAUUAAUAUUUGUACCUAGAUGGAAAAGGGUAUUUGUGAAUCCUGGAAUAAAAUAACUUCAUUACAAAUAGAGUUGUCGUCUUUCG